CUAAAAAUCCCGACUUCGGAAGGGAUGUAUUUAUUAGAUUAAAAACCAAUGCCCUCUGGGCUCUCUUGGUGAAUCAUGAUAACUUCUCGAAUCGCAGGGCCUUGCGCCGGCGAUGGUUCAUUCAAAUUUCUUCCCUAUCAACUUUCGAUGUUUGGGUAGUGGCCAAACAUGGUUGCAACGGGUAACGGAGGGUUAGGGCUCGACCCCGGAGAAGGAGCCUGAGAAACGGCUACUACAUCCAAGGAAGGCAGCAGGCGCGCAAAUUACCCAAUCCCGAUCCGGGGAGGUAGUGACAAUAAAUACUGAUACAGGGCUCUUUUGGGUCUUGUAAUUGGAAUGAGUACAAUUUAAAUCCCUUAACGAGGAACAAUUGGAGGGCAAGUCUGGUGCCAGCAGCCGCGGUAAUUCCAGCUCCAAUAGCGUAUAUUAAAGUUGUUGUGGUUAAAAAGCUCGUAGUUGAACCUUGGGCCUGGCUGGCCGGUCCGCCUCACCGCGUGCACUGGUCCGGCCGGGCCUUUCCCUCUGUGGAACCCCAUGCCCUUCACUGGGUGUGGCGGGGAAACAGGACUUUUACUUUGAAAAAAUUAGAGUGCUCCAGGCAGGCCUAUGCUCGAAUACAUUAGCAUGGAAUAAUGAAAUAGGACGUGCGGUUCUAUUUUGUUGGUUUCUAGGACCGCCGUAAUGAUUAAUAGGGACAGUCGGGGGCAUCAGUAUUCAAUUGUCAGAGGUGAAAUUCUUGGAUUUAUUGAAGACUAACUACUGCGAAAGCAUUUGCCAAGGAUGUUUUCAUUAAUCAGGAACGAAAGUUAGGGGAUCGAAGACGAUCAGAUACCGUCGUAGUCUUAACCAUAAACUAUGCCGACUAGGGAUCGGACGAUGUUAUUUUUUGACUCGUUCGGCACCUUACGAGAAAUCAAAGUGCUUGGGCUCCAGGGGGAGUAUGGUCGCAAGGCUGAAACUUAAAGAAAUUGACGGAAGGGCACCACCAGGGGUAAACCUGACCUGUGAAGCCGCAGUCAACUCUGCUCCAGAAAGCCGCCCGAAAGGGUCGGUGGUGUUCCUAGGGGAGAGCUCUCCCCUAAACUAAUGGCUAGUCCUGCCGCCCGCGGCAGGGCGACACCCUCAAACUGACGGGGAACUCCUAAAGCCCUCGCUCCGGACAGGCGUCGGGAAACCGACGGCCUGCUCACCAGGCUAACGACCUCGGGUAUCGGAAGCAACGCGAGAGGAUGCUACAAUGGACAAUCCGCAGCCAAGCCCCUACGGUGCGGCCUCUACGGGGGUCGCAUACGGGGAAGGUUCAGAGACUUGACGGGGGUGGGUGGCGCGGGCUCUUGGGGUGCAAGCCGCGUGCUUGCUUGCAGGCCCAGGCGCCCGCCGCUGCCUAAGAUAAAGUCCGGGCGUGCGCGAAAGCGUGCGCGGCAACCACGCAACCCGCCGUUUCCAGCGGGUGCGAGGCCCCAGAAGUAAAAACAACCGGGAGCCUGCGGCUUAAUUUGACUCAACACGGGGAAACUCACCAGGUCCAGACACAAUGAGGAUUGACAGAUUGAGAGCUCUUUCUUGAUUUUGUGGGUGGUGGUGCAUGGCCGUUCUUAGUUGGUGGAGUGAUUUGUCUGCUUAAUUGCGAUAACGAACGAGACCUUAACCUGCUAAAUAGCCCGUAUUGCUUUGGCAGUACGCCGGCUUCUUAG
rnacentral:rRNA from 1 species